AUGGCCGCCGCGGCGGCGGCGUGCCGCAGGGCCGUCUCCUACACCCUGCGCGGCCCGCCGGGCGAGAGCCUCGCCGCGGCGGUCGCGAGCGCGGCAAAGGCGGCGAAGCCCACCACCGGCGACCCGUUCGUGGACCUGCUCGACGCCAACUUCAACAAGCCGGCCCCGCCGCCGCCGCCCAAGACGCGCACGGAGAACAACUCCCCGACGUUCGCCACCUCGGGCGACCCCUGCCUCGACUUCUUCUUCCACGUCGUCCCCGGCACCCCGGCCGACACCGUGUCGUCCCUCAUCGCCAGCGCCUGGGCCGCCGAGCCGACCACCGCGCUCCGCCUCGCCUGCAACCUCCGCGGCGUGCGCGGCACCGGCAAGGCCGACCGCGAGGGGUUCUACGCCGCCGCGCUCUGGAUGCACGGCUCCCACCCCGCCACGCUCGCCCUCAACGCGCGCCCCGUCGCCGACUUCGGGUACCUCAAGGACCUCCCCGAGAUCCUCCACCGCAUCAUCCAUGGCGGCGCCUCCACCAGGACCCCGGGGAAGCAGGCCCGCCUCGCCGCCGAGGGAAGAGGAUUCAUCGCCCGCCUUCGAUUGCGUAUGGCGCACAGCGAGCCGAGGAAGGAGCGCCACGAGAAGAAGCGCACAAGGAAGGCGCGCGUUGCUGCUAGCCAGAAGCGUGAUCUGGAGGAGGCCGCCCAGGCCACCGUCGAGCGCCGGAAGAAGCGCGCGGACGCCGCGGCGACGGCCGUCCAGAGGUACUCCGACCAGAACUACCGCCUCCUCCAUGACAUGACGGCGGAGGUGUUCGCCGACCUCCUCGCCGAGGACAUGAAGAAGCUCGCGGAGGGCAAGAUCAACCUCUCGCUGGCCGGGAAAUGGUGCCCGUCGGUGGACAGCUGCUACGACCGCUCCACGCUCAUCUGCGAGGCCAUCGCGCGCCGCCUCUUCCCCAAGGGCUCGGCGCUGGACCUGCCCGAGGACCUGCCGGACGCGCACUACGCCUUCCGCGCGCGGGAGCGCCUCCGCAAGGAGGCCUACGUGCCGCUCCGCCAUGCCCUCAAGCUCCCCGAGACCUUCAUGUCGGCGGGCGAGUGGGGGAAAGUGGUGUACACGCGCGUGGCGUCCGUCGCCAUGAAGAACUACAAGGACCACUUCAUCUAUUACGACGAAGAGCGCUUCAACGGCUACCUCGCCGACGUCAAGCCGGGCAAGAAGAAGAUCGCGGCGGGCGCCCUGCUGCCGCACAAGAUCCUGGAGUCGGCCGUCGACGGCGAGGACGAGGUCGCCGACCUGCAGUGGAAGCGCAUGGUGGACGACCUGCUGGCGCUGGGCAAGCUCAACAACUGCCUCGCCGUGUGCGACGUGUCGGGCAGCAUGCACGGCGUCCCCAUGGACGUCUGCGUCGCGCUCGGGCUCCUCCUGUCGGAGCUCUGCGACGAGCCGUGGCGCCACCGCGUGAUCACCUUCAGCGCAGCGCCGCAGCUGCACCGCAUCCGCGGCGAGACCCUGUCGGAGAAGGCGGAGUUCAUCUGCGAGAUGGAGUGGGGCAUGAACACCGACUUCCAGGCCGUGUUCGACCAGCUCCUGCGCGUGGCCGUCGCCGGCAAGGUCCCUCCGGAGCGCAUGGUGAAGAAGGUGUUCGUGUUCAGCGACAUGGAGUUCGACCAGGCGUCGGCCAGGCCGUGGGAGACGGACUACGAGGCGAUCACGAGGAAGUACGCCGAGGCCGGGUACGGCGACGCCGUGCCGCAGGUGGUGUUCUGGAACCUUCGGGCCUCACGCUCGGUGCCGGUGACGGCGGAGCAGAAGGGGGUGGCGCUGGUGAGCGGCUUCUCCAAGAACAUGCUCGAGCUGUUCCUCGGCGGCGACUACACCCCGUCGCCCAGGGCCGUCAUGGACAAGGCCAUCUCCGGGCCCAUGUACGAGAAGCUUGUCGUGUUCGACUGA
rnacentral:rRNA from 1 species